UAAAGGGGCCGCUGCCUGACGGGCAGUGCGCUUUCCCUGUCUGGGGUCUCGCCGGCUGCGUGGACCGCUGAGGCGCGCGCGGUACCUCAGUUCUCUCCCAGAGUUUCCGUCGCCUAAUGCUCUUUAGUAGAUUGACCGAAAUUGGGACUGGACUGUAACCCCUGAGGGCUGGCCUGGGAGGCUUGGAGGGGAGUGGCGCAAAGGACUUUUCCCAAGCUAAGGUUUGUGUCUUCAAUUCCAUGUCCCUGAAGAAACUCAGGAGAGAGGGAAGAAGGAAGAAGGAGAAAAAAAACUUGUUACAUUGUUUUAUCCUUGCUGGGCUACUGUUGCGUUCCAGUUGGAGUCUUGCUGAAGACUUGGCCUGAGUAAUUUGAGAAGGAUGACAAAACUGAAGCAAGAAGCUUAGCAAACCACCCCCAAAUGAUGGAACUGUCAAGUGACAGCUGGGGCGCUCAGUAGUCUGUCUCCAGAGGCUUUGGGGGCUUUGAGGCACCAAAGGAUGCUAUACUGCCUCCUAGCAAUAAGAGAUGAAAUCCAGUUACGGGGACCAGUUCCCACAGGUCAUCAGAGGCCAUUGGUGCAGUUUAUCUGGAAGAAAAUAAAAAUAUUUAAAAGGAUCCUUGGCCAUAAAAAGACUUGGAACGAAUAGCUCAAAAGUAGCCUUAAUCCUCAACUGGACAACAGGAAUUCCUGUGGAUUUUGAUAACUGCCUGAAACCAUCAGAAUACCUGUCACAUCUAUAACCCCCUCGAGGUUUCUAAUAGACAGGAAACCAAAUUAUUCAUCAACUUAUUCUGCCAUUCCAAACAAAACCAUUUGUUCCAGGAGCAGGUCCUUAACCAAGGGCAAUAAGCCUAUGCCGAUGUGGUGGCUUGCCAAGAAAGCUCUGCCCGACAGUCUGUACUUGGUGGUGAGCCGUCUACCCACGCAGGUCCUUUGUGGGGAGUUGAAUAUGAA